rnacentral:rRNA from 1 species
CAACCGCCGCGGUAAUACAGAGGGUGCGAGCGUUAAUCGGAUUUACUGGGCGUAAAGCGUGCGUAGGCGGCUUUUUAAGUCGGAUGUGAAAUCCCUGAGCUUAACUUAGGAAUUGCAUUCGAUACUGGGAAGCUAGAGUAUGGGAGAGGAUGGUAGAAUUCCAGGUGUAGCGGUGAAAUGCGUAGAGAUCUGGAGGAAUACCGAUGGCGAAGGCAGCCAUCUGGCCUAAUACUGACGCUGAGGUACGAAAGCAUGGGGAGCAAACAGGAUUAGAUACCCGUGUAGUCCCUGUCUCUUAUAC